rnacentral:misc_RNA from 1 species
UUUCCGUAGGUGAGCCUGCGGAAGGAUCAUUAAGGUUAUAGUCCCCCGGCCCUCUGGUCUGGGGUCUUCUUUACCACCCUUUGUUCAUUACACCUUUGUUCCUUUGGCAGGCCUGCCCCCGGGCUGCUGGCCCCGGCCGGCUCGCGGCUGCCAGAGGACCUAAACUCUGUUUGUAUAUGAAGUCUGAGUAAUAUAUAAUAGUUAAAACUUUCAACAACGGAUCUCUUGGUUCUGGCAUCGUGAAGAACGCAGC